rnacentral:rRNA from 1 species
GACGAACGCUGGCGGCGUGCUUAACACAUGCAAGUCGAACGAUGAAGCGGGUGCUUGCACUCGUGGAUUAGUGGCGAACGGGCGAGUAACACGUGAGUAACCUGUCCUUUUCUUUGGGUUAACGGCUGGAAACGGCUGCUAAUACUGGAUAUUCAGGCUGCAUCGCAUGGUGUGGUUUGGAAAGGUUUUUUCUGGGAUUGGGUGGGCUCGCGGCCUAUCAGCUUGUUGGUGGGGUGAUGGCUUACCAAGGCUUUGACGGGUAGCCGGCCUGAGAGGGUGGUCGGUCGCACUGGGACUGAGAUACGGCCCAGACUCCUACGGGAGGCAGCAGUGGGGAAUAUUGCACAAUGGACGAAAGUUUGAUGCAGCGACGCCGCGUGGAGGGUGUAGGCCUUCGGGUUGUGAACUCCUUUUUCUCGCGAAAAAGGCACAGUUUUGGCUGUGUUGAUGGUAGUGGGGGAAGAAGCGCCGGCUAACUACGUG